CAGAGCGCACAGUACAAGUGUGACAGAGCAAGUUGCACCCGGUGCAUAUCUCUGUUGUGACUGCCAGGGCUUCUGUAUGACUCUCUUCCCACAUGGUGUGACUGGACCUUAUGCUCUCUCUCUCCCCAGCACUGCUGGCUGCAGUCUAUUCUUUCUCUCCCCAUUACCUAGCACUGCAGAUACUGGCUUUACUCAUUGGUCUCUCUCUUCCAUACACUUGAUGCAGGCUGCCCUGAUUGACCUCCCCCCAACACUGAGGCACUUGGUAUGGCUGCACCUAUUGAUCUAUCUCUUCAUACACUUGAUGCAGGCUGCCCUGAUGAUCUCUCUCCGCAACACUAAGACACUUUGAUUUUCUGCACCUAUUGAUUCCAUACACUUGAUGCAGACUGUCCUGAUUAUCCCCCCCAGCACUGCAGACACUUUGUAUGAAUGCACUUAUUGAUCUUUCCAUACACCUGAUGUAGGCUACUCUGAUUAUCUCUCCCCCCAUGGCUGGACCUGUUGAUCUCUCUCUACCAUACACCUGAUGUAGACUACUCUGAUUAUCUCUCCCCUCAUGGCUGCACCCGUUAAUCUCUCUCUACCAUACACCUGAUGUAGGCUACUCUGAUUAUCUCUCCCCCAUGGCUGCACCUGUUGACCUCUCUCUACCAUACACCUGAUGUAGGCUACUCUGAUUAUCUCUCCCCCCGUUAAUCUCUCUCUACCAUACACCUGAUGUAGGCUACUCUGAUUAUCUCUCCCCCCAUGGCUGCACUCGUUGAUCUCUCUCUACCAUACACCUGAUGUAGGCUACUCUGAUUAUCUCUCCCCCCAUGGCUGCACUCGUUGAUCUCUCUCUACCAUACACCUGAUGUAGACUACUCUGAUUAUCUCUCCCCCCAUGGAUGCACCCGUUGAUCUCUCUCUACCGUACACCUGAUGUAGGCUAAACCAGAUUAUCUGUCUCUCCCCAGCACAAGGCUACAUCUGUUGCUUUCUCUCAUCAGCACUGCAGUAAGUCAGUGCAUCUACAACUUUCAUCUCCUCUUUCUCCCAGGAUAUUGGGAGGAUGACUUGGAAAAGAGGACUUACCUCCUGAUUCCAGGAUUGUCAAGCAUUAGCUGCGAGGAUGAAUACGACCAGUGUGCCCAUGUGCCGUGAUCACACGUGGGCCGCCCUGCCCUGCAAGAACUAACGGUGCCCUGCACUGCUGGCACCUACCCCGAGUUAGAGGCACAUGUGGCGCGGAUGGAAUGAAUCCUCAGGCGGUUUGCCAGAUCCCUCAGGCCCUGCAGCUCAUUGUCCUCCGGUUUCUUGUAGCUGGCCAUUGUAGAUGAUGCUAUUAUCACCUCCAAACCUGUGCAGUGCUGUAGAAGACUUCUUCUCCGGGGGCGCGCUUUAAAGAGCAACGCGCGCUCCACGCCCAGAGAGGAAAUGAUCUCACAUGAGCAGAAAAUGAGUGGAUUUGGUUAUAGGUGGUGGACGACUCACCCCAUCAUCCAGGGUCACUGUCCUCUGUAACGUGUGUCCGAUUCGCAUUUUGUGGCAAAAAUAUCUUAUUACUGCAUUUGUCUUAGUAAAAUUGGAUUUUUGGAUCCAGUAGUAUAUCAAAUAAUAAUAGUAAUAUUUUAGAUCUAUAUAGUUUAUGUCAAAUUCUAAUUAAACUGUAAUAACUCCAGAAA